UACGUGGGGUGCGAGCGUUAAUCGGAAUUACUGGGCGUAAAGCGUGCGCAGGCGGUUUGUUAAGCCAGAUGUGAAAGCCCCGGGCUCAACCUGGGAACUGCGUUUGGUACUGGCAAGCUAGAGUACGGCAGAGGGGGGUGGAAUUCCACGUGUAGCAGUGAAAUGCGUAGAGAUGUGGAGGAACACCGAUGGCGAAGGCAGCCCCCUGGGCCGAUACUGACGCUCAGGCACGAAAGCGUGGGGAGCAAACAGG
rnacentral:rRNA from 1 species